rnacentral:lncRNA from 1 species
UAGUAAAAUUUUAUAUUUUAAAUUCAUAGUUACAUAUAUUUUAAAUUUAUAUUUAUAUUUUUAAUUUUUAAAUUUCAUAAUUAUUUUAAAUUUUAAAUUUUUAAAAUUUUAAAUUAUUUUUUAAAUUAAAAUAUCAAAUUUUAAAUUUUGUACAAUUUUAGAAUUUUAAAAUUUUAAUUUUAAUUGAAAUUUAAAUUUAGAUUUUAAAUUAUUUUAAAUUAAAAUUUAAUAAAAAUAUAAAUUUAUGCAAACAUCAAAAAAAAUUUGCUAAACAGUUUUUAAAAUCACUUCAGAAAAAAUCACUUUUAUUUAAACUCCGCCAAACGCUCUACAGUUUUUAACCAAAUCACUUCUCCAAACCAAAAUCACUUAUUUAGAAAUUAUUUUUUCAGAAGCUAGGUCAAACAGGCCCAUAAUAUGAUAUAUGACUUUGAUGAUGCAUUAAAA